rnacentral:tRNA from 1 species
GCCUGGGUGGCUCAGUCAGUUAAGCAUCUGAUUUCAGCUCAGGUCCUGAUCUCACUAUCCGUGGGUUCGAGCCCCACAUUGGGCU